rnacentral:rRNA from 1 species
AAAUGAAUAGACGGGGACCCGCACAAGCAGCGGAGCAUGUGGUUUAAUUCGAAGCAACGCGAAGAACCUUACCAGGUCUUGACAUCUGCUUGCCCGAGGUAGAGAUACCUUCUUCCCUUCGGGGACAAGCAGACAGGUGGUGCAUGGUUGUCGUCAGCUCGUGUCGUGAGAUGUUGGGUUAAGUCCCGCAACGAGCGCAACCCCUAUUCUUAGUUACUAACAAGUGAAGUUGAGGACUCUAAGAAGACUGCCGGUGACAAACCGGAGGAAGGUGGGGAUGACGUCAAAUCAUCAUGCCCUUUAUGACCUGGGCUACACACGUGCUACAAUGGUCGGUACAGAGAGCAGCGAAGUCGCGAGGCCAAGCGAACCUCAAAAAGCCGAUCCCAGUUCGGAUUGCAGGCUGCAACUCGCCUGCAUGAAGUCGGAGUUGCUAGUAAUCGCGGAUCAGCACGCCGCGGUGAAUGCGUACCCGGGUCUUGUACACACCGCCCGU